CGGCAUGGAUUAGGCAUGCAAGUCGAACGGUAACAGAGGUGCUUGCACCUGCUGACGAGUGGCGAAAGGGUGAGUAACCCGUGAGCAACCUGCCUCGAAGUCCGGGAUAGCCUUGGGAAACCGAGAUUAAUACCGGAUGUGGCUGUAUUUCCGCAUGGUUUACAGCUGAAGUUUUUUCGCUUCGAGAUGGGCUCGCGUUCCAUCAGCUAGUUGGUGAGGUAACGGCUCACCAAGGCAGCGACGGAUAGGUGGUCUGAGAGGAUGGUCACCCACACUGGGACUGAGACACUGCCCAGACUCCUACGGGAGGCUGCAGUCGAGAAUCUUCCGCAAUGCGCGAAAGCGUGACGGAGCGAUGCCGCGUGCCGGAUGAAGGCCUUCGGGUCGUAAACGGCUGUCACCCGGAACGAAUAUUGACGGUACCGGGAGAGGAAGCCACGGCUAACUACGUGCCAGCAGCCGCGGUAAUACGUAGGUGGCUAGCGUUAUUCGGAUUUAUUGGGCGUAAAGGGUUCGUAGGGGGCCGAGUAAGUCUGAUGUGAAAUCCAACGGCUCAACCGUUGAACUGCAUUGGAUACUGCCCGGCUAGAGUACUGGAGAGGUAAGCAGAAUUCCUGGUGUAGCGGUGGAAUGCGUAGAUAUCAGGAGGAAUACCGACGGCGAAGGCAGCUUACUGGACAGUUGCUGACCCUCAUGAACGAAAGCUAGGGGAGCAAACAGGAUUAGAUACCCUGGUAGUCCUAGCUGUAAACGUUGUUCACUAGAUGUAGGCGGAUUGGUCCCGUCUGUGUCCAAGCUAACGUGAUAAGUGAACCGCCUGGGGAGUACGGCCGCAAGGCUAAAACUCAAAGGAAUUGACGGGGGCCCGCACAAGCGGUGGAGCAUGUGGCUUAAUUCGAGGCAACGCGAAGAACCUUACCUGGGUUUGACAUAUAUCUGACCGCCAUGGAAACAUGGUUUCUCUUCGGAGCGGAUAUACAGAUGCUGCAUGGCUGUCGUCAGCUCGUG
rnacentral:rRNA from 1 species